rnacentral:rRNA from 1 species
AGUGGCGAACGGGUGAGUAACACGUGAGUAACCUGCCCUUGACUCUGGGAUAAGCCUGGGAAACUGGGUCUAAUACCGGAUAUGACCGUCUGACGCAUGUCAGGUGGUGGAAAGCUUUUGUGGUUUUGGAUGGACUCGCGGCCUAUCAGCUUGUUGGUGGGGUAAUGGCCUACCAAGGCGACGACGGGUAGCCGGCCUGAGAGGGUGACCGGCCACACUGGGACUGAGACACGGCCCAGACUCCUACGGGAGGCAGCAGUGGGGAAUAUUGCACAAUGGGCGCAAGCCUGAUGCAGCGACGCCGCGUGAGGGAUGACGGCCUUCGGGUUGUAAACCUCUUUCAGUAGGGAAGAAGCGAAAGUGACGGUACCUGCAGAAGAAGCGCCGGCUAACUACGUGCCAGCAGCCGCGGUAAUACGUAGGGCGCAAGCGUUAUCCGGAAUUAUUGGGCGUAAAGAGCUCGUAGGCGGUUUGUCGCGUCUGCUGUGAAAGACCGGGGCUCAACUCCGGUUCUGCAGUGGGUACGGGCAGACUAGAGUGAUGUAGGGGAGACUGGAAUUCCUGGUG